AUCCAAUCAACGAGUUCCAAAUAGGACUAAACGCGCGUCCUAGAU
rnacentral:hammerhead_ribozyme from 1 species